rnacentral:rRNA from 1 species
GACGUAGGGCGCGAGCGUUGUCCGGAUUUAUUGGGCGUAAAGAGCUCGUAGGCGGCUUGUCGCGUCGGCUGUGAAAACCCAUGGCUCAACCAUGGGCUUGCAGCCGAUACGGGCGGGCUAGAGUUCGGUAGGGGAGACUGGAAUUCCUGGUGUAGCGGUGAAAUGCGCAGAUAUCAGGAGGAACACCGGUGGCGAAGGCGGGUCUCUGGGCCGAUACUGACGCUGAGGAGCGAAAGCGUGGGGAGCGAACAGG